rnacentral:lncRNA from 1 species
GGAAAUCUAAGGAGCUCUCCCAUGGUGAUUUCUUCCAUUUUGUAUCUAAGGCUUGAUCCAAGCAAAUAUUUGAGCAUCCAAGCAAAAGAAAGAGGAAUCAAAGGCUUUUUCGGUAUAACUUUUCCUCCUCUAGCUCUAUUUUCAAAUUCGUCAAUGGGGAUGAAACCCAAUGUCUAUUUUGGCUUCAAUUUAUGAUUAGAUUUGGUCUUCUAACAUUCUUUGAGUGGUUUCCAUGGUUCUAAUCCCGAUCCAAUCGUCUCAUUGAUGGAUUUGAUAAUUUGGGUAAAAAUCUCCAUGAACCCUAGAAAUCUAAUUUGGGGAUUUUGUAUCUAUAAACUAUUAUGGGAUCAAUUCAAUGACCUAGAUGAUAUUUGAUGACAAUGAAUCCAAUUUUCAUGCCUAAACACAUCCAUGAUGGUAGAAUGUUGCAUAAACAUAUAUAUUUGGUGGUUUGGGGGAAACUAUGAUGAAAACAAUGAAAUCUAUUGUAUGUGAGCAUUUGAUGAUUAUAUGACACUCAUAAACAGAAUUUGACACUAAUAAUAUGAUUUGAAUGCAAAAACAUGAAGACUUGCUUGAUUUUUAGUUGAAUUUAUGGAACAUAAAAUAAUACUUAAUAGGACAUUUAAAUGAAUGUGAGGGGCCGAUCUUUAAUUUUUUAAUCCGCAUGGGCUUUUUUACUUGUAAUUUUUUAAUCCGGCUACCUCCUUAAUUCCCUCGCUACAUUUGGGGGAUUGAUUUUGUUCCUUUCACCUUGUAAUUUGACUUGGAACGGGAUCAAAUGAUAUGAUAUGUUAUGUUAUGUAUGAAAUAAUGUUCUUAUAAAUGCUUUGAAAUGUUUUGGAUCGUAAACCCACGUACAACGUGAGACAGAAAAGGAAUGAAAAGUGGAAAAAUGUCUUUUGAAAUAUGUUUUGCUUAAUGAAAGACUUUCAAAAGAAAUGUGAUAAAUGUUUGGGUUACAAACAUACGUAUCUCACGAGACAUUAUUAUCUUAUGUAUCUCUUUCUCAUGUCAUGUAUCUCAUGUUACACUCAAGGAGAAAGGGUGAUCGAUGGAAGUUAGAAGUUAAGAGAUAGUGAAUGGAGUGGAGCUUGUUAAGUUCCUUAUCAAUGGUAUUGAUGUAAUUCGUAUUUGUUUUUUAUGGUUUGAAUGAUGCUUAAUGGUAGCACCCAAUGUUUUAAUUGUAAAUUCUUUGGUGGGACCGAGUUUUUGUUAAAUAUGGGUUAAUCCUCGAAAUAAUUUUAUAACCACAACAUUUUAAACUUUGAAAGAUAUCGGGGUGUUAAACUAUUUCUUCCAUAUGCUUGUUCCUUUCUUCAAAUCGGUUUUUAAAUAAAG